rnacentral:rRNA from 1 species
UGGGGAAUAUUGCGCAAUGGAGGAAACUCUGACGCAGCAACGCCGCGUGAAGGAUGAAGGCCCUCGGGUUGUAAACUUUUGUCUUUAGGGAAGAAAAAAAUGACGGUACCUAAGGAGGAAGCUCCGGCUAACUACGUGCCAGCAGCCGCGGUAAUACGUAGGGAGCGAGCGUUGUCCGGAAUUACUGGGUGUAAAGGGUGCGUAGGCGGGAGAUAAAGUCAGGUGUGAAAUACCGCAGCUUAACUGCGGGGCUGCACUUGAAACUUAUCUUCUUGAGUGAAGUAGAGGUAAGUGGAAUUCCCAGUGUAGCGGUGAAAUGCGUAGAUAUUGGGAGGAACACCAGUGGCGAAGGCGACUUACUGGGCUUUAACUGACGCUGAGGCACGAAAGCAUGGGGAGCAAACA